GGGUUGUGAGGUUAAGCGACUAAGCGUACACGGUGGAUGCCCUGGCAGUCAGAGGCGAUGAAGGACGUGCUAAUCUGCGAUAAGCGUCGGUAAGGUGAUAUGAACCGUUAUAACCGGCGAUUUCCGAAUGGGGAAACCCAGUGUGAUUCGUCACACUAUCAUUAACUGAAUCCAUAGGUUAAUGAGGCGAACCGGGGGAACUGAAACAUCUAAGUACCCCGAGGAAAAGAAAUCAACCGAGAUUCCCCCAGUAGCGGCGAGCGAACGGGGAGCAGCCCAGAGCCUGAAUCAGUGUGUGUGUUAGUGGAAGCGUCUGGAAAGGCGCGCGAUACAGGGUGACAGCCCCGUACACAAAAAUGCACAUGCUGUGAGCUCGAUGAGUAGGGCGGGACACGUGGUAUCCUGUCUGAAUAUGGGGGGACCAUCCUCCAAGGCUAAAUACUCCUGACUGACCGAUAGUGAA
rnacentral:rRNA from 1 species